rnacentral:tRNA from 1 species
GCCCGGGUGGUGAAAUUGGCAGACACGCUAGUUUCAGGUACUAGUGCUCGCGAGGGCUUGGGGGUUCAAGUCCCCCCUCGGGCA